rnacentral:rRNA from 1 species
GACGAACGCUGGCGGCGUGCUUAACACAUACAAGUCGAACGGAAAGGCCCCUUUGGGGGUACUCGAGUGGCGAACGGGUGAGUAACACGUGAGUAACCUGCCCUUGACUUCGGGAUAACUUCAGGAAACUGGGGCUAAUACCGGAUAGGAAUCCUUGCUGCAUGGUGGGGGUUGGAAAGCUUCGGCGGUUUUGGAUGGACUCGCGGCUUAUCAGCUUGUUGGUGGGGUAGUGGCUUACCAAGGCUUUGACGGGUAGCCGGCCUGAGAGGGCGACCGGCCACAUUGGGACUGAGAUACGGCCCAGACUCCUACGGGAGGCAGCAGUGGGGAAUAUUGCACAAUGGGCGGAAGCCUGAUGCAGCAACGCCGCGUGCGGGAUGACGGCCUUCGGGUUGUAAACCGCUUUCAGCAGGGGCGAAGCUUGUGGUGACGGUACCUGCAGAAGAAGCACCGGCUAACUACGUG